AUCUUCCUCCUCAUCUUCAUCAUCUUCCUCCAACAAUUCUUCUUCAAACUCAUCAUCAUCAAUAUCAUGAUCAUCUUGGUCGGUGUCGGGAUGUGGCAAGUGAUGCACUUCAUCCUCUCCUAGAUCGUUAUGCUCUUCAUCAUCUUCAUCAUCCUCAUCAUCCUCAUCUACUUCAUCCACAUCAUCCCCAGACAUCUCAUCUUCAUCUUCAUCAAGAGU
rnacentral:misc_RNA from 1 species